GGGGGUUUUUUUUAUUAGUUUCAACAAUUCGAAGAUAUAUUCAAGCUUCUGCUAUGAUGAAUUUAUGAAACAAUUCACAUGUCAGACUUCAGAGAUUAUUCAAUCAGUGAGAAGGAAAUUCAUAUUUCUGAGCAGAGUUGAAAUUAUUUUCGAUUUCUUGUUCUACAGAGCUAAUUUCUAAGCUGUCUUUGGGGAUGAGAAAUUGCUGGCGUUUAAAUGCUUUCCACUGAGGAAUUCCUUGUAUUCUAUAGAAGAAUCAUUAAGCCCAAGGCUCUGUUAAUUAUUUUAAAAGUUCUUAUAAUCGAAUACAAGGAAUUCCUCAGUGGA
rnacentral:misc_RNA from 1 species